CUGUAAGGUGUUGAGAUACUCGAAUUGCAUAUGAACUCAAUUUCAAUGAAACAUCUAAAAGCCACGAGCUUACCGGCAGCUGUGAUAGCCACUCUCUCACCAUGGCCAGGGUUCCGAGCAUGCAUGGACGUGGUCAAGCUCUGGAUUUCCAGGGUUGUUUGAAUGACUUGCAGGAUUGGGAGAUUUCUCUGAAGGACAGAGAUAAAAAGAUGAAGCCACAGCCUUCUAACAAGAAGAUUUGUGAGAAUAGAAGAUCAGCAAUUGAUUCUGCAGGAGGUAGUUCGGGACAAUAUAAUUGAAGGAACUUUGAUGCUAUUGAUCAUAUAUCAAAUAGUUUCAUGACUAAAGAAAGUGCUGUGGAUGCUACUUCAGAGAAAGAGUUGGAUUACUUUACACAGAAGAAGUUUAAGGAAGCUAUUGAAUGCUAUUCGAGAAGCAUAGCCUUGUCACCCACAGCAGUGGCCUAUGCAAAUAGGGCAAUGGCUUAUCUUAAAAUCAGAAAAUUUCAAGAAGCCGAGGAUAACUGUACAGAGGCUUUGAACCUGGAUGAUCGCUACAUAAAGGCAUGCUCACGCCUAGCAACUGCUAGAAAGGAAUUGGGAAGAAUUAAAGGGUCCAUUGAGGAUAUGUUAAUAUUCUGAGUUUGCCUUCUGGUUGGAACCUAAUAACCAGUAAAUCAAGAAACAGUAUGCUGAGGUUAAAUCAUUGUAUAAGAAGGAGAUUUGCUAGAAGGUAUCUGGGGCAGUAAGAAGCUCUGAGCAGAAAACACAGAGAGGAGGAAAGUUGGAUAAAAAAAUUAAUGGGCAUAUGGUCAAUUCUGUCUCAGGAGAGUGCUGGAGAGGUUAUCCCAAAGAAAUCCAUAUCAGUGGAGGAAAUAAAAAAUAAAGGGUCAAGAGCUGGAAGCAGAACUGAAAUCAAUUCUUAUCCCGAUGCUACUUCAAGUUCUCGUAUGGAGAGUGUCCAGGUGCAGCAUGGGAUCCUUGCUUAAAUAUUUAUAUACAUAUAUUUUUUUUUCUGAGAGGGGUACAAGCUUUUGUCUUGAAUAGCUAAUAAGAUGGUUAUCAGUAAGUGUUUUUUCUCGAGUAGGUCCUGCAAACAUAGACAUCCGUCCAUUGUGGUGCUUUUUCUUUUUAGUGCUUAUUAUAGAAAAAAAAAUUCAGAAAAUGGUUGUGUUUGUAGUCAUUGCAAGUAUUUUUCACUUUAUGUUCUUUUUGGAUUGGGAGUAAUCAAUUUUGAUAGGAUAACAAAUGGGGAUAAGGACAAGGGAAAGAGUAUGCUUACCUGAAAUCAAUUGAUUUGUGCACACACACUUUAUCAGUUAAGCUUUUGUAGAGAUAUUAUAGAAUUGGAAAGCAAGAGCUGAAGACGUCAGCACAAGUGCUUCUCAUGCAGCUUCUCGUGCUAUGGCUGAAGCUGCAAAAACAUCACCCCUCUAAAUUCAGCUUAUCAAUUUGAGGUUGCUUGGCUAGGCUUUUCCAGUGAUCGUGCAUUGCAGACUCGCCUCUUGAAGACAUCCUGCAGCUGACAAGCACAGUCAUUGCAUGAUCUUGGCCUGACUAUACUUAUAUUUUGGAUGGUUUCCAGAGGGCAGAGGCUGAAGUGAUCAAAAGGCCACAUCUCCAAGUGCAUUACCACAGAUAUCCAAAAAUGCGUUGGAUUAUAUGAAUUUGGCUGUCAAGCAUGUAGGAAAUUCGACAUGCUUAUCAUGUAUCUUUCAGCUGCAGAUAAGGGUGAUAUUGUCAAGAUAUGGGAUGAAGUAUUUUGUAGCGAAGCGACACCAAUUGAGCAUGCAGAGAUUCUUGAUGACCUUUGAUCAAAAUACUGCUUAAAGUGAUGAUAGGUGUAUAUAGAAAUAUUUUGUCACACCUUACCAUUCUGUAAGACAUAACAUGAUCCCAUAGUAUACUUAAUGAAUUACCGAACUUCGCCUA